AACGAACGCUGGCGGCAUGCCUAACACAUGCAAGUCGAACGAGACCUUCGGGUCUAGUGGCGCACGGGUGCGUAACGCGUGGGAACCUGCCCUUAGGUUCGGAAUAACUCCCCGAAAGGGGUGCUAAUACCGGAUAAUGUCUUCGGACCAAAGAUUUAUCGCCUUUGGAUGGGCCCGCGUUGGAUUAGCUAGUUGGUAGGGUAAAAGCCUACCAAGGCGACGAUCCAUAACUGGUCUGAGAGGAUGAUCAGCCACACUGGGACUGAGACACGGCCCAGACUCCUACGGGAAGCAGCAGUGGGGAAUAUUGGACAAUGGGCGAAAGCCUGAUCCAGCAAUGCCGCGUGAGUGAUGAAGGCCUUAGGGUUGUAAAGCUCUUUUACCCGGGAUGAUAAUGACAGUACCGGGAGAAUAAGCUCCGGCUAACUCCGUG
rnacentral:rRNA from 1 species